rnacentral:lncRNA from 1 species
AAAUAACAAAGGGAAUAAAAAUCUCGUACUUAAAACUCAUUUUUUGUAAAAUUCAUGAGCAUAAUAAUUAUUACGAGUGAUAUAAUGAGGCGGGCGGUACGUCUCUUUUCAGAUCCCCUGUUCACGGACCAGAUCCUGGCAGGGCAAGAUUCUUGUUUUUCGUGGCUGGAUUUGAGUCCUCUUCGAUUACCCUGAGCUACUGCCUAUACGAGUUGGCGUUGAAUCCCGACAUUAUGGAUAAACUACACGAUGAAAUCAUCAGGUACUGGACGCGCGUGCGGGGGAAACUGACUACGACACGUUCAAGAGAUGCCUUACUUGGAGUGCGUCAUUUAUGAGACACUCCGAAAAUACCCAACGCUCGGCUGGUUGGACAGGAUUUUUGCACGAAAACAUUCGAGGAUCCGAAUUCAUCUCUGGUCAUCGAUGAAAACACAAUGUGAUAAUCCCGGUUUACGCGUUGCACCACGACCCACAGUAUUUCCCGAAUCCACAGAAGUUCGACCCCGGAGCGAUUUAACGCCGAGAACAAAUCAAGCAUCGUUCCAGGCACAUACCUUCUUUGGUGCUGGACCAGAAUAUGUGUCGGAAUGCGAUUUGCGUUAUUGGAGAUAAAAGCUGCGCUGACACUGAUCAUCGGAAAAUACACGGUGCACCCAACCGAACGGACGCCAGUACCCGUGAAAUUCCAGCACCGAGCAUUCUUCAACAUCUCCAACCAAGGACUCCACCUCCGAUUCAAGGAAAGGCCAAAGGUGGCUUAAAAAAAAUGCUUUCCCAUGCACGCCGCGCAGUGCUGACUUCAGCGGGUUCGCUUUGUUGGUAAUUUUAUUCUGUGGCCUAAUGAUUGCAUUUUUCUGACCAAAGAACCGUCG